rnacentral:lncRNA from 1 species
GGGACACUCGGCCUCGAUGCUGAAGUUUCCACAGAUCUCAUAUGCAUGGAACCAGCAGUAGAACGUGAUGAGAGCAAUGUCCAAGAACCCAAAUUUCUCACCCUCAAAAUAUGGCUUGUCUCCAAGCUGUCCCUCCAACUGCUUCAGGAUUUCGAUGAAGUCCUUUUUUGCUGCCUCUUGUUCCUCUCCCUUUGUCAUCCAUAUCUUCGUGCAAGCAUCAUAUAGCUGCAAUUUUAAGACAAGAUUGCAUCAGAUCAUUGCUAUAGCGAGUUCAGUGGGAUUAAUUAAAUUUUGACUUCUUUUCUAAUUCCCGCGGCUAUAUUUGUUUAGGGUUUUGUAAGUUCCAAUGAUUGAACUUAAGUAGCAAGAAAUGGAUCACAAAAUAGCAGAGAUCACAAAAGCCGUUCAUGAAAAUUAACGAGGCAUGCAAGAUAGAUUUGUAAAGAAAGUCAGGAAUUCUACCGUAAAACUAAUUGAUAAUAUAGAAAGUAGCUCAAUUUAUUUAUAAGCCCACGCAAGUUCUUUUAUUAAUUUAGAAUUCAUUUUCAACACGCUCUUUACGUGUGAUACAUUUAUAAACUUACCACAUAAACAAUACAACAAGAUAUCGUGAAGUGUGUGUGCCCGUUUAACUUCACACAAGGACCAUACUUUGUUACCAUGAAAAAAAUUGAAAUUCCACCGUAAAAUCAAUUAGCAAUAUGGAGAUUGAUCCAACUUAUUGAAGUGGGUCUAUGUGUUUUUUUAUUAAUUUUUAAAUGCUUAAAAAUUAAUUAGAACGGUGAACGGCCGCAUAGCAUCUAAAAACUAAUCAGAAUGAUGACUAAGGGUCUAACGCUUAAGUGGGCUAGAUAGCAUUAAACGAGAAUUUUUAGAAUAAUGCCUCCAUAGCCCAUAAAAAAUUGUAUUUUGCUCCUCAUGUCAAACUGUUUAUGCUAAGAGCAACUCCAGUGUAGGAGCCCUCCCCCAGGCAAUUCACUAUUUAAUCCACCUAGUGAACAGUAACUGCCCUUAAUGAAUAGUGCAUUCCCCUGUCAAUUGCCUUUUGCAUCUCCACCCCUGCACUGAAUAGCCCUGGCAAUUGGCAAUAAAAUAUUAAUAUUUUUUUAUUUAUAAAAUAAUACAUAAUAAUUUUAUUUGUAAUUUCGGAUAAGAUUUUUAAUCGUUCUCGUUGCACCACGUGUCAUUAUCCGAAAAGCCAAUAGCAAUAAAAUUUUUGUAUUUUUGUAUUUAUAAAAUAAUUCAAAAUAAUUAUAUUUGUUAUUUCGGAUAAGAUUUUUAAUCGUUCUCGUUGCGCCACGUGUCAUUAUCCGCAAAGAAAAUUAUUGGUGAUGGAUUUCCGAUAAGAUUUUUAAUCGUUGUGUCAAGGCACGUGUCAUUAUCUGAAAAGACAAUUAUUGGUGAUGGAUUUCUGAUAAGAUUUUUAACCAAUCACGUCGUGCCACGUGUCACAAUCCGAUUACAAUCUUUGAGGAUAGAUUUCCACCAGAUUUUUAACGAAUGACGGCAUGCCACGUGGCAUUAUCUACAACCUAAUCCCUUCUAAAUCCUCCAUAUAAUCCCCCAUCCAUCCUCAUAAAUCUCACACCAAUUUUCUCAAGAUCUCUCUAUCAUUAUUCAUAGUUUCUGCUUCCUUCUUCGCCAAAAUCCCUAUCAUUAUUCAUAGUUUUUGCUUCCUUCUUCACCAAAAUCCCUAUCAUUAUUCAUAGUUUCUGCUUCCUUUUUACAAUGUCUUCUUCUUCUUCUUCAAAGAUGAUGUGGGAAAUCGAGCAAGAAGAGGAAGAAUUGUUUAACCAAUCACAAGGAAUGUUCAAUGUUAGGGAUUGGGCCCAAAAUGAGAUGGAAGAGGAUGACGAGCGUAGACGGAGAGAUGACGAAUCAAGAAUGGCAGGAGCCUCACAAUCCCGUCGAGUCGUCCAAGCUGUGGCUCAUAUCUGCAGGCCCAACCGUGCUGUAAAACAUUGAUAGAAACAGGCAACGACGAGGUCAGGAGCUCUUGGACGAUUAUUUUGUCCGUAACAGUGCAUUCCCUGAAACAUACUUCCGACGUCGUUUUAGAAUGGAACGACAUUUGUUCAACAAAAUCAUGGGCGCUGUUUGCAACCAUGAUUCUUACUUUGUGCAAAAGCCGGAUGCUUUUGGUGCUAUGGGUCUCCUGCCUCAGCAAAAAAUUACUGCUGCCUUGCGGAUGCUUGCAUAUGGAGCAGCUGCAGACCAAGUGGACGAGAUAACGAGGAUGGGACAAUCAACCAUUCUUGAGUCCCUCAUGAGGUUUUGUUCGGCAAUCGAAUCUAUCUACACCGCAGAGUACCUCCGGAGACCUACUCAUAUGGACUUGCAAAGGCUUCUGAAGAAAGGCGAGAUGCGAGGUUUUCCAGGGAUGAUUGGAAGCAUUGAUUGUAUGCACUGGACUUGGAAAAACUGUCCAAGUGCAUGGCAAGGCGCUUAUGGGGACAGAAAAGGAUCAAAAAGUAUCAUUUUGGAGGCGGUGGCAUCUUUUGAUACAUGGAUUUGGCACGCCUUUUUCGGGGUUCCGGGAGCUCAAAAUGACCUCAACGUCCUUGCCCAAUCCCCAGUGUUCAACGAUGUCCUGCAAGGAAAUGCACCAAAAGUCACGUAUGAGGUCAAUGGACGUAUGUACGACGGGCCAUACUACCUAGCUGAUGGCAUUUACCCAAGGUGGUCAACAUUUGUCAAAACAGUGCCACGUCCGCGCAGUGCAAAGGAAAAACACUUUGCAAGAUGUCAAGAAGGGUGCAGGAAGGAUGUGGAGCGUUGUUUCGGUAUCCUCCAAGCUCGCUGGGCGAUCAUCAGGGGUGCUGCCAGAUUGUUUGAUGUAGAGUCACUUCGAUCCAUCAUGAUGACGUGCAUCAUUCUUCACAACAUGAUUGUGGAAGAUGAGUACGAUUAUGAAGCCGUUGAUGAAUAUGAGCCAGACACGAUGAACAAUUCAAGAACACGUAUAUAUUGUGCUCAUGACGCCACCGAUGAGCCCGUGCAACAUGAGCCAUUAGAAAGGGAUGGACGUUACAAUGAAAGGAUCAUCCAACGAUAUACUGCACUUCAAAGGUCAAAUAUGCACAAUGCCCGCCAACUUGACUUGAUAGAGCACCAGUGGGAAUUGAGGGGUGCUGACGAUACUUAAGUUCAUUAGUGUUUGUUUUUAUUUGGUGUGUUUAUUUUAUUUUAUGUGGUGUGUUUUUUUUUAGUUCAUUUAGUGAGUUGAAAUGUAAUUUUAUUUUAUUUGGUGUUUGUUUUUUAUUUGGUGUGUUUAUUUUAUUUUUAUGUGGUGUGUUUUUUUAGUUCAUUUAGUGAGUUGAAAUGUAAUUUUAUUUUAUUUGGUGUGUUUAUUUUAUUUUAUGUGGUGUGUUUUUUUAGUUCAUUUAGUGAGAUGAAAUGUAAUUUUAUUUUAUUUGGUGUUUGUUUUUAUUUGGUGUGUUUAUUUUAUUUUAUGUGGUGUGUUUUUUUAGUUCAUUUAGUGAGUUGAAAUGUAAUUUUAUUUUUUUUGGUGUUUGUUUUUAUUUGGUGUGUUUAUUUGGUGUGUUGAUGUUAUUUUAUUUGGUGUGUUUAAAUGUGUUUUUGAAUAAAGUACUAAGUUCAAUAAAUUGGAAACAACAUAAAGUACUCUAUUCAAUGAAUAAGAAAUUACAACCCGAAUAAGAAAUUACAACCCGAAUUGAUUGGAAAAUUAUGGGUUCGUGAAUGGAUGAUAACCAUCACCUAACCAAUUUGUGGUGCUAGGAUGAUCUUCUCUUGUCAUGCUAGGAUAAUCUUCUCUUGUGGUGCUAGGACCAUCUCCUCUUGCUCUCGCUUCUCUUGCACGCCUCCUUCGCAACACAUCCGCUUUCUCUGACUUCCAAAAAAUAUUUAGAGUCUGGAGACUUCCCUUCUAAAGGCUCCUUCAUAAUGUCACGAUCUCGUUCAGCCAUUCUUUCUUCUCUUCUAUGUUCCCUUUCUUGCCGAAGUAGUUCUCUUUCUCUCUCAUCAGCUUCAAAUUUUCUCUCAAAAGCUGCAGCUUUUGCAUCCUCUCUAGCCUUAUCAGCCUCAAAUUUAGCCAUUUCCCGGGCCAAAUUCAAUUCACCUUGGCGGGCAAGAUCUUCCAUAUACUUUGCAUAAUCAUUCUUGGAAGCAUUACCUUUUCUCUUUGAAGCCUUCUUACCUUGAGGCCUAAUUGGAUAACGGGUCGACCCCGACGCUUGUUCAACGGGGGGCGUUUCAGGCACUUCUUCAUCAUCUUCAUCAUGAUCAUGCGAGGCAUGCUCAGGUGUAGAGUGUAGAGGGGUGCUGUUCAUGAAAACUUCUGGACCGACAUGCACAACUCUAAAUUUAGGACAAUCUUUGACAAUAUUCCAACAUUCAAACCGGGUGAAUGUUUUGUUUUUGCUUUUGGUUUUGGCACUAUACCAAGCUUGUGCUUGAAGUUCCUACACAAACAAAUAAUUAUAAUGAGAAUAGGUAACAAAUAAAUAAUUAUAAUGAAAGUAUGUAACAAAUAAAUAAUACAAACAAAUAAUUAUAAAUGAAAGUAGCUAACAAAUAAUUAUAAUGAAAGUAGGUAACAAAUAAAUAAUACAAACAAAUAAAUAUAAUGAAAGUAGCUAACAAAUAAUUAUAAUGAAAGUAGGUAACAAAUAAAUAAUACAACCAAAUAAUUAUAAUGAAAGUAGGUAACAAAUAAAUAAUACAAACAAAUAAUUAUAAUGAAAGUAGCUAACAAAUAAUUAUAAUGAAAGUAGGUAACAAAUAAUACAAACAAAUAAAUAUAAUGAAAGUAGCUAACAAAUAAUUAUAAUGAAAGAAGAUAACAAAUAAAUAAUACAAACAAAUAAAUAUAAUGAAAGUAGCUAACAAAUAAAUAAUAUAUUGUUACCUGAUCCGUUAAAUUUUCCCCACUUCGAAGAUUACCACUAGCUUGUGCCAAGGCGUCUCUCCACGUACUAAACGAUUGACUAAGUAAUUUCCAACGACUGGACAUCGAUUCCUUAGUUCUUUGCCCACCCAUUUUCUCAAGAUAAUUGGUAUGAAUAAGACUCCACAUUUCUCGCAACUGCAUCUCAUUACCCGUAAUCGAAUCAUGAGUAACUUGAACCCAACUAGUACACAACGCAACAUCUUCAAGAAGCGUCCAAUUCGUACCUGGUUGAGUAGUCAUUUUGUUGGAAAAAAAUUGGAUUGAAACUUUGAAAGAAAGAUAGGAAUGUGGUUGAAAGUAGUUGAGAAAAUAUGAAAUUGUGGUGUAGGGUAGAAGAUAAUGAGAAGGUAUUUAUAGGUGAAGUGAAAUCAAAAUUUUUUAUAAUUUUUCAUAAUUUUUUUUCGGAUUUUUAAGAAUUUUUUUACAUUUUUUUUUAAUUUUUAUUCACCUAAUUAAUCUCUGCCGUUGGAUUUAAAAAAAAUUUAAAUUCCAACACUCCAGAUUGUGCCACGUGUCACAACGGUAACAUUUUAGAUUUUUAAACUGUUUUUUCUUUUUUUUUUUUUAAUUUACAAAGCCUAAUAACGUGGACCGUUGAUCUUAGAUCAAACGGAUGAAAUUAAAUUAGAUUUUUAAAUGUUUUUUACCGUUGGAAAUCCAACGGCCCAUAAAAUAGGACCGUUUCAAUCAAACGGACAUGGGGAAGCCACGUGGCUUCCCCAACGGUAACUUUUCAAAACUGAAAUCGCGGGCCCCUGCCCUGUUUUUUUGUCGGACGACUCGCGCCCACGCGCGCGUGAAACGCACGCGCCUGACGCAGCCCUCGGGCUCUCGGGCUGGCAAUCCUCGACGGGCCUGCUCCUCGGGCCUCGCCUGUCGCUCGGGCUUCCAUACGCUGGAGGUCAUCCCCCCAGCAAUUUGCUACUGUUUGACCCACUGGCCCCCGAGCAACCUCCCCCGCUGGAGGUGCUCUAAGGAUACAGACUUGAAGAUUGUACCUCAUCUAACUAUUCAUCCAAAAGAAAAGAAAGUGGGCUCUACCGCAUAUAUAUCAAAUUUUAAUGAAAAUCAUGAAAACCCCAAAUCACAUCCUAACAUGAACCUAAAAAACCAAACAAUUAAUUAGAAUAAGAAACGACUCAGACAAUUUAAGUUACCUUCUUGUCAAUGAAAUCAGCCCAGAACCUUGAGUGAGCUUUCUGGUAAGGCUCAGAGGGAAGCAAAGGAGCUUUAUCCCUCCAAACCUCAUCAAUAUACUGCACAAUAAUGAGUGACUCGCAGACCGGCUUACCGUUAUGAAUGAGAACCGGGGUCUUCUUGUGAACCGGGUUCAUCUGCAGAAGCAUCUGGCUCUUAAUAUUAUUCCUCAAGUCCUCCUCUCUGUACUCAUACUUGACGCCCUUCUCCGCCAGCGCUACUCUGGCCCUCAUGCCAAACUUGCUGGCCCAGUAGUCUAGAAGAACAACCUCAUCCGCCAUUUUUGACACACACACAACUACUUCUAGCUGUAGGCUAUAGUGUUUUGCUUGAUGCUAAAAUAUUCCAGAUAGAUAUUCACACACACAUAUAUAUAUGGAAUCCGGAUUCUCGCUAGAUUUUUUUUUGUAAGAAUUUCUAAAUUUCGCAAAUACAAUAAACAUAUAUAAUUCAUAAUUUUUCAAGUUUCUUGUUAAAAGAAUCCGAAGAGGGUCGGUAAUAUAUUUACGUAUAUACACAUACGUGGCAAUAAGGGUGUGGCUGAUUUUUGAAGGGUGUGACGUGGCAUGCUGUAUGCCAUUACUUUCGGUGACGUGGCAUGCUAUAUGUGAAAAGCACGACAAAGUCAUGCAUGCAUUAUUUGUUUUGUUUUGGUUUUUUCAACCUUCAACUUUAUUUGAUGGUAACAAGCAACAUUAUUUAAAUAAAUAAUGUUUGAAAUAUGCGAUGAGUUACUUUCAGUCAACAAUGGCAAAUUCAAGAUUUGAAUAAUUGGGGUUUCAAUGUUAAAGAUUAAUUUUGUAAUAAAAGAAAUUACACUGUACGAAUGUGUAGUGUUUGAAUUCAAAUUUCACUUUAUUUAUGAAAGUGCCAAGUAGGGGGAGAAAAACCUUUUUACAAAGAGUCUACAGCUUUAUGUGAAAAGCACAACAAAGUCAUGCAUGCAUUAUUUGUUUUGUUUUGGUUUUUUCAAUGGAAUUUUAUCGAAAAAUUUAUGGUACUGUUCAUUUAACGAAAAACUAUAUUUUUACAUUAAAAAAUUAAUCAUGGUACUAUUCACUUAUAACACUUUUUUGUCAUUUUCGUUAAAAGUUAAAAUUUUCAAACUAUUUUCAUUAGUUUUUUUUUUUUUCAACCAUCAACUUUAUGUGAUAGUAACAAGCAACACUAUUUAAAUAAAUAAUGUUUGAAAUAUGCGAUGAGUUAUUGUUAGUCAAUAGUGGUAGAUUCAAGAUUUGAAUAAGGGGUGUGAUAUCCACACAUCAUUUUUACUUCUCUCACAUCCUUUUAAUUUUCGACAGUCGAAUCAGAUGAAUUAAAGAAUAUCAAAUGACGGAAAUUAACAAAUGAUGUGUGGAUAGCACAUCCCUUAAAUAAUUAGGGUCACAAUCAGGGCCGCCCCAGGCCCAGUGCAAGCAGGGCGACCGUCCGGGGCCCAAAAAAAUUAGGGGCACCAAAAUUAUUAGGACGGUAUAUUUAUAUAUGUUUUUAUAAGAGUAUAAAUUUAUAAAAUUUGGUUCAAAGACAUAGAAAUUUAACUAGAAAUGGUGGUUUGUCAUUUGAAAAUAAUGAGAAGGUCUUGGGUUCAAAACACCAUGUGUGCUUAUUUACUCUCCAUUUUUUACAAAUUUCUUUUUAUAAGAGUAUAAAUUUAUAAAAUUUGUUUAAAUGAUCAAGAAAUUUAAUUAGAAACAAUGAUUUUUAUUGUUUAAAAUUAACAAGAGGUUCUAAGUUUGAAAUGCUAUGUGCAUGUUUAUUCUUUUCAAUUUUUUAAAAUUUUUGUUUGAUUGUUAAUUUAUUUUUAGUUACUAUCUAUUAGCUAUGUGGGUUGUUAUUUUUAAAUAUUUGUUUUCAUUCAAGUCUAAUCUUCAACAAAGAGUAAUAUGUAGACCAAAUUUCCAAAUUAUAAGACGUGUCAUCAAAAUGUUUAAUUUAGUGCCCAUUCAUUAAUAAUACAUAUCAAUUAAAGACUCGAGAACAUCAUUAUUUUUAGUACCAUAUUGAUAAGGUUAGUAAAUAAGAAAAAAAAAACACCUCACAAUUUAUUCAAAAACACAUUCAAAGUUCAGAUGGAAAACAAAACUCAUCAUCUAUCUACUUGUAAGCCCGAAGUUUUUUUGUUUCCCUCUCUCAAUACAAAAUAAAUUAGUCUUUCUGUGUUUCUAAAUUAUUGAAUUUGAAGUGUUUUUCUAAGUAUAAUUUUAUCGAUGUCUUAUGUGUGAAAAUAAAUAAUUUUCUUACAUGAAGUUAGAGCACUUUUUUUGACGUCGCCCCGAGCCUCAAAAAUCUAUGGACCGGCCCUGAUCACAAUAUUAAAGGUUAAUUUUUUAAUAAAAAUAGAGCAAAGUGUGCAAAAAAUUUUAUUCACUGAGUCAUUGCUUAAAAAGGGUAGGAGACAGAGACACACUUUUCUUUUUCUUUUUUUAUUAAUUUUUUUCUUUUCUUUUUCCACAUUUCAAUAUUUAAAAAAAAAUUGUAAUAUAAUAUCCAUAGAUUCGACCAACCGACGCCUCAGAGGUUGAAGGAAGGAAGAUGCCAUCAUCCAUCAAAGAAAACCUCUCCGAAUGCAGCCACCAGGUAGAAAAAACGAAGGAAGCUAGUGGGAUCCCCAUUUGCGACAUUGCCAACAAAGGCAGACCAAGAGAAGGAGGUGGUGCGAACAACCGUGCCGAUGGGAACACCAGAGCUCUACACAUCCUUUCGAUAUACCACAACAGAUUGCGGUUGAAAGUGAUGGCAAAUCGGCUAAGGUAAGGUAUUGAUGAAAGAUGGAGCCUAUGUUUAUUGUUUAGGACCGAUUUGCAUGAAUAUUUCUCAACAUUUAUACGAUAUAGAGAGAUAGUGGGAGAGGGGAGACAGAGCGACAAAGAAAGAGGAUUAUUGCUUUUUGUCUUAUUAUUUUUAUAAAAAAAUAAAUAUAAAAGGUUAACGUCGUGAACGUACAAAAUAAGGGACGAGAGGGCAGAGAAGCGGGAGGGCAGAGAAGCCGGGUCUGAGGGAGGAGAGGGGAUCCUCGAUUUCAUGAGUGGGAAAGGGGGUACAGUCAGAGAAAAGCAUGGGGUUAGGGAUUUCAGAUUUCAAGGGGGGAGAGAGGCUGUGCUUCGUUUCGAUGGGGCCGAGCGUCUAUGAUUCGAUCGGAUCGAGGUGAUGGGGACAACGUGAGGGGUUGAGGUGGCGUCGGGAAGGUAUGUCGUUUUUUUCUUCCCCUUCUAAUUCUCAUCUUCAGUUCACGUUGCUGAUGCAUAAACCCAUCAGUUCCUCUGUAAUUCGUUUAGUUUUUCAUUAUUCUUCUUCGAUUUCUUUUGUCAAAAUUGAAAUGGAAUUUGUUGGCUUGAUUUUGUAUUAGGUUGCGAGAGGGUUCUGUUUCUAGGGUUUUCUCCGUCUACCUCUCUGUUUCUCUUCUUCAAUCAGUCUGACGUAGUUUUGCAAUUUAGGGUUCAGUGCAUUUCAAUCUUUUUUACUGGAAUAUACAUACAUAUAAAUGUCUAAAUUUGUUCAAUUUUUCUAUACACAGGACUGGGUUAAUUUGAUUCUUCACCUAUGAUUGGAUAUUAUAUUACAAUUGUGGGUUCUGUUUUGAGGGCUGGAUGAAAAGAAACACCCAUCAGAGCUUCUAACAACUCGAAGGUAAGGAAUUCCAUCGCGUUUGUUGAAAAUAUUUUUCACUUUCUGGAUGUGCAAAGUCUGGAUAGUACACAUCACCGGGCCAAACCUUUCCCAGGAAAGGAAUUCCAUCGCGUUUGUUGAAAAUAUUUUUCACUUUCUGGAUGUGCGAAGUCUGGAUAGUACACAUCACCGGGCCAAACCUUUCCCAGGAAACGAAUUCCAUCGCGUUUGUUGAUAAUAUUUGCUUCCUUUCAUCUGAUGUAUGUGUAUGUAUGAUGUAUGUGUGUGAUUUUAGAUUGUAAUGUAUCACAAAUUUAUGGCAUGAAAAUUGACAUUUGUAGACUUACCCUUUGUUUGGUGGCUGUGAUAAUUGGGGGAAAGGAAAAUAAAAUUUCAAAGAUUGAUACUUUUAUGUGAUUUCCUGGCUCUUUUUUUUUUUUCAUAUGAUUUUCAUUGUAUGUGUGCCAGUGUAUGUCUCUUCUUGAAACGUACAUGUUGAAAAUGGGAGAAUUUUGGACAUGACAUGUUUAGAAGUGAGGUUUUCUGAAUGAAGAUACUCUUAUGAUUUUUUUGUAAUUUGUUUUGCAAAUGGGUAGGAAUAUCAUUCUAAAAGGAUUUUGGCAGGAGGGGUGGAAUGUCAUUCUAAAAUAUGUGUAAUUCAAUUCUCUCAUUUUCUAUAGCAGAAUUGCAGAUUUCUAAAUCGGAAAGGAAAAACAAGCACUAUAGCAGUUUAUGCAGAAGGAGCAUGUAAAAGAGAAGCACAAGUAAAGGUUUCUAAGGUCAGUUGGCUGUUUUCUUUUUAGUAUUUUCAAUUUGUUCCUUUUAUUCUGUCUGCAAUUUUUUAAUCUGUGGUUAUGCAUCAAUUUCUCUGCUUCUUCUUUGUAAAUCUUGCAGAUCAGGAUGACACACCUAUCGGGGCAAUGUCGGGAUGUUUAGGCUUAGGUGGAGACGUGGACUUAUGGAAGAGGUGAAGUAGCUUAGCUCUCUGUCAUUAGCUUUAUCUGUUCUAUGCAUCUCUACAAUCUUACAAUGAUCUUUUAUUAAAUUGCAAGAUGUUGGGACCAGUUACUGGAAUACGAGAUAUGGAACAAAAGUGGUUGACAAUGCAAGAGUCGAAACCAAGUGUGAAAUUCACAUUGAAAAUGACAGGUGAGAAUGCUUAAUCAUAUUCUAAAAAAAUGUUGGGUUUCCUAAUGAGUUCUCUGAAUUCAAAAGGCUAAUUUAGUGAUUUGGAGUUAAUUUUGUAAAUUUAUUGAAUGAAGUCAUUUGUUAUUUAGCUUAUCUUGCGUUUGGUUUGGUUUGGUUUUAGGAGAGGGUUGCGCAUGAUCUAUAGGUUCAAUCAACCUCGCUGUUUUUGUGAGAAUCACAAUUAAAGGUCAGUUUUUCCAACAUUUUUUUUUUCUUUUGCGUGCAUGUUUGUGCAUGUUUGGUCUCUGAGAUUUUGUUUUUAGUCACCGUUGAUUUGUAAUUUAUGUCUCCCUUUGGCUACAUAUUGACACAGGUUUAUUCUCAGCAUUUUUUUGUUAGGGUAAGUGGUUUGGUGAGUUCUGUAUUAUUAUAUAAUCUUUGGGGCUAUUUUAAGUAAAAAUGAAAUGUUGACAUUGAUAUAGCAUACGGCACACUUAAUUCACACUCCUAUAUUCGGUCUUCAUGUUUCCAUUUCAACACUCUGCAUUUCCCACCCAAUGAAUUUUUUAAUAAAGACGUAGUUAAAGCAAUUACAUGCUCUAUCAAGUAUGUUUUAUAUGUAGUUGUGGUAGUUGCAAGGAAAUGAAAUAUUUGUGCUGAUAAUUGGUAGUUUAAAUAUAUAGAAAUAAAGAAUAAUUAUAAAUGGAGCACCAAGGAUAUUUAACAUUGUUUUCUUUUCCAUGUAAUUUUUCUCAUGUUUAACAUCUGCUUUUGCUUAUGCAUUUGAUUCAAGUGCUAUUUUUAUUAGUGUUAAUUUUGGGUUGCAUAUCCACAUACUAACCCAGUUAAUUUUGCUUGGUGUUGAUGCAUAAGGAGAACUCCCAUUGCAUCAACUUGAACAAACAUUCUUCUACUUAGUUGCUUAGCUGCUGAAACAACAACGAAACACUUUUUAUGUUUUUUUGUUUAACUGCUAAUACAGGUGGCUGGCCUGCAUGGCAUAUAUUUUGCCAUCUUAACUUCAAGGGUAAUAUAUGUGUAAAAUGCAUGUUGCUUAGGGAAACAGAGCAUUUUUUUUUGCAACCACAUCUUUUUGUAAUUAGCUCGGUUGAAUGUAUAUAAAAGUCAAGCUGCUUAUCUUACCGACACCGUUCACUCAUCUAUCCCUUUUGUUAGUUCAUGAUUAUGUUGAAUUUUUUUCAGGUUAAAUUUGUCUUAUUCAUGUAGUUAAGGUUGGUGUAUUUAAGUAGAAAUGUCGGGCAUAUUUACUAGUAUAAUCUAAAAACGGAACGGGGGACAUGCAUGCAUUUUUUGUGCGUGUAAUUUCUCAACUUCUCUUUGGUGGUGCAGGUGCUGCUGAAGCUAAUAGGCUUGAGCAAUGCUCCUUCAACAAAACAAGGAAAAAAGAGUUGUUCAAAUGGCAGUAUUCGAGUCUCUUAGUGUUUCUCAUUAAUAUUAUCAUUCUAAACGCACCAAUAACAUUAUCAUUUCCUGAUGCUAUAAUGCCCCAAAUAUUUUGAUUAAAAGUGAUGAACUGCAUAACCAAACGACAUUUACCUUCUAAUUUCCAUCAAAGAGCAACUUGUUAUUAACUCUGUCAAGUUUCUGCCAAGGGGAUUGCACUCUUCAACAUGGGAAGGAAACCUUCUGCUAGUAGCCAUGCUAAAUUAACACAAGCAACCAGGAAUUUGACUUGGUGGUGGGUAUGAACCAUUUACACUAAUUAAUCAACUGGCAGGAGGCAAAACUCUGCAUGAUUUUUAUUUUAUUUUUUGGUAAAUGAAUAAUUUUGCAUGUUAUCUCAAGAUGUGAGAUCAGUACUAGUUGGUUAAAUAUUGUUGAAUUGUAUAACACAAGCACUGUUCUAAAAAUCCCCGCCUAGGACCUGCUUAGGCGUUAGGCGGCUGGUCAUCGUCCCGAUUAAUGCUUAGAUGUUUAAGAAAAAAAAAAAAGGCGUCUAGACUUGUUUAGGUGCCCGCCUAGUCCGUCCAAACCCGUCUAGACACCAGCUUAGGUUGCUACUUGUUUACACAGAAAAUAGAUAAUUUUCAUUUGUAUUUUAUUUUUUUUUCAAUAAAUUAUAAGAGACUUAUUGAAUACUUAAAUGAACACAUAUUAUAUGCUUGUUCUCUAUGUUUUCAUUAUGUUCCAAUACCUCAUAAUAUAUAUGUUAUUUUAUUUUGUAGUUUAUGAUGAAAUUAUAUUUUAAAUAUAAACAGACGUUUAUUUACACGAAAUAUGAUAGAUUUACUUAAAUUCACUUAGGCGUUAGAUUCUAAACCGCCGUCCAAUUAGCGCCUAGCGUAUUUUAAAACCUUGAACAUAAGAUAGAAAAUAAGUAAAUAAUGCAGAAUACAAGAGGAUCAUAUGAUCCAGCAAGGAAAUUUUACAAAUGCAUAUCAAUUCACCAUUGGAUCAGUCUAGAUGUCGAUGGUACAGGUCUGCAAAACCUAAUUCCUGAUAACCAACAAUUUAUGACUGGAAGUUCUAGGAUGAUCGUAGUGACAAAUUAAAAGUCCAGUUCAAAGUCCAGUUCAAGUUCAAUUUUCAAUUUAACUUCCACAUGCACAUCACAUACCAAACUAUUUUACACAUAUGCAAUUAAAAAGAUAAAUAAAAUGUGCACACAAGAUGUAGGAUUUAACGAGGUAAAAUCCUGAAAAAAAUCUUUAGGCUCCUAAGCCAAGACAAACAGUACUAAGACAAAUGAAUUCAAAAGAUUUACAAAACUCAUCUUACUAGACUCACAACAAGAAAACAAUUUUGUCUCUACACUUUUGCUACUCGAUCUCUCCAAUCCUUGAGUGGGAGUGGCACAAUACUAAUGCGUCCGUCAAUCACUAUAUUCUCAAACUUUGCAGAAUACUAACUUAAUAAUGUAGAAUUUAUGUAUGAUGAAAUAAUUUUUGAAGAGCAAUCAAUUAUGAAAGUUACAAAGCACAUUUUUAUAAUUGAGUUUUACUUAAUGCAGGAAAAACCAAUGAUCAAAAACUAAUUUUUUUUUUCUAAAAACGAACGGCCGGCUGCAAAACCGGUUUUUAUUCUCUCAAAAUACUUUGAAAAAUGGACUCUUUGCAUACGGGCUGCUAUCAGAUUUUUCUUUCAUUAAUUUAAAAACUCAUUACAGGCCAAUUGUAGGGUAAAAAAACUGGAUUAGAGUGGUUCUUCUAGCAAAUAGGAAAGAGACUAUAGGGUGCAAAAGAAAUGGUGUAUGGUACUUGCAUUAGCAUGGUGCGCCUAUAAAUAUUUGGUCACUAGUUCAUCAAAAUUAUGCGGAGGGAAGUUGAAUUCGGGCGUAAAGGAAAGAGUGCAUUGCUCUAGCCAAUUUGAUUAAGCUUAAAUAUGCGAUAAUAUACUAAUCACGACAUCUGGAUGGUGCGUGAGUAAUAAAUACAAUGAGUUGACACACCAUAAGACUAAUAGACACACAUCAACAUUAAUUAUACGACUUACGUGCGGUAUGGACGGUUAUCUGUUGCGCAACUCUCAAAGUAAGUGAAAAACAAUACAGAUAUACAAGAUAAGUUUCCAUAAAGAUUCAUGAAUUGAGUUUACUGACUCGACAAAAAAAUCUUCAUUUUUGUUUUUGGAAAUUAAAAUAUAAAUCUUUAUGGCUUAACUCCGAUUCAUAUACAUUCAAAUUCACAGAAAAAUCCCUCACAAAAUCACAUCUCUUCCAAAACUGCUGCUGCUGCACUACCUAUUUAUACAAACUUCAAUGAAUUUUCACCUUUACCCCCACAACCAAUUCGUUCGUUUCAAACUUGACUACUUUUACUGACCAAUUUGUUACUGAAAUACUGAUAGUAAUUGCUGUUACUGUGGCUAUUAUUCUUGCAAUUUGAUGAUCGAGUCUUCACAAAUGAUAAUGGACUCAAAUUUGAGUCCUCAAUUUAUGAUAAUGGACUCAGAAAUUGACCUAGAGAGACUCACAUUUGACUCUCACUAUUUUUAAUUAUUCAUUUAUAUGUAUGAGGUCAAUUAUUUUUUUCCUCCAAUGACAAUGGAGGAGCAUUUGAGUCCCCAACUUUAUAAUGCACCAUACCAGAUCAUGUCCAAAAAGGUUGUUAGUGGACCUGCACCAAAUAUUGAUUUCCACCCUUGGACUCAUACAUCUAGACUCUUUCUCACACAAGAUUCGAAAGACGCAUCAAAGUUUCUCACCAUAAUAUCUCACUAGAAACUAAAACAAGAUACAUAAAGGAAAGAAAUUAGACGAAUUAAACUGGACACAGCUUGAGACUUCACUCUAGGACUUCGACAUUCUAGCUAGCAGCCUAUCGAUAUCUCCCCCUCUAUUCCACACCAAGCAUCUUCUUAAUGCUAAGAACGAACUCAUACACCUUCUUUUCGUCAGCAAGGGAUUUGGAAACACUCUCCCUCUGCUUGCACCGCUUGGCCCAUGCAAUGAGCUUGGGACACUCGGCCUCGAUGCUGAAGUUUCCACAGGUCUCAUAUGCAUGGAACCAGCUGUAGAACGUGAUGAGAGCAAUGUCCAAGAACCCAAAUUUCUCACCCUCAAAAUAUGGCUUGCCUCCCAGCUGUCCCUCCAGCUGCUUCAGGAUUUCGAUGAAGUCCUUUUUAGCUGCC